rnacentral:rRNA from 1 species
CGGCGUGCCUAAUACAUGCAAGUCGAGCGAACGGACGAGAAGCUUGCUUCUCUGAUGUUAGCGGCGGACGGGUGAGUAACACGUGGAUAACCUACCUAUAAGACUGGGAUAACUUCGGGAAACCGGAGCUAAUACCGGAUAAUAUUUUGAACCGCAUGGUUCAAAAGUGAAAGACGGUCUUGCUGUCACUUAUAGAUGGAUCCGCGCUGCAUUAGCUAGUUGGUAAGGUAACGGCUUACCAAGGCAACGAUGCAUAGCCGACCUGAGAGGGUGAUCGGCCACACUGGAACUGAGACACGGUCCAGACUCCUACGGGAGGCAGCAGUAGGGAAUCUUCCGCAAUGGGCGAAAGCCUGACGGAGCAACGCCGCGUGAGUGAUGAAGGUCUUCGGAUCGUAAAACUCUGUUAUUAGGGAAGAACAUAUGUGUAAGUAACUGUGCACAUCUUGACGGUACCUAAUCAGAAAGCCACGGCUAACUACGUGCCAGCAGCCGCGGUAAUACGUAGGUGGCAAGCGUUAUCCGGAAUUAUUGGGCGUAAAGCGCGCGUAGGCGGUUUUUUAAGUCUGAUGUGAAAGCCCACGGCUCAACCGUGGAGGGUCAUUGGAAACUGGAAAACUUGAGUGCAGAAGAGGAAAGUGGAAUUCCAUGUGUAGCGGUGAAAUGCGCAGAGAUAUGGAGGAACACCAGUGGCGAAGGCGACUUUCUGGUCUGUAACUGACGCUGAUGUGCGAAAGCGUGGGGAUCAAACAGGAUUAGAUACCCUGGUAGUCCACGCCGUAAACGAUGAGUGCUAAGUGUUAGGGGGUUUCCGCCCCUUAGUGCUGCAGCUAACGCAUUAAGCACUCCGCCUGGGGAGUACGACCGCAAGGUUGAAACUCAAAGGAAUUGACGGGGACCCGCACAAGCGGUGGAGCAUGUGGUUUAAUUCGAAGCAACGCGAAGAACCUUACCAAAUCUUGACAUCCUUUGACAACUCUAGAGAUAGAGCUUUCCCCUUCGGGGGACAAAGUGACAGGUGGUGCAUGGUUGUCGUCAGCUCGUGUCGUGAGAUGUUGGGUUAAGUCCCGCAACGAGCGCAACCCUUAAGCUUAGUUGCCAUCAUUAAGUUGGGCACUCUAAGUUGACUGCCGGUGACAAACCGGAGGAAGGUGGGGAUGACGUCAAAUCAUCAUGCCCCUUAUGAUUUGGGCUACACACGUGCUACAAUGGACAAUACAAAGGGCAGCGAAACCGCGAGGUCAAGCAAAUCCCAUAAAGUUGUUCUCAGUUCGGAUUGUAGUCUGCAACUCGACUACAUGAAGCUGGAAUCGCUAGUAAUCGUAGAUCAGCAUGCUACGGUGAAUACGUUCCCGGGUCUUGUACACACCGCCCGUCACACCACGAGAGUUUGUAACACCCGAAGCCGGUGGAGUAACCUUUUAGGAGCUAGCCGUCGAAGGUGGGACAAAUGAUUGGGGUGAAGUCGUAACAAGGUAGCCGUAUCGGAAGGUGCGGCUGGAUCACCUCCUUU